rnacentral:rRNA from 1 species
UACGUAGGGGGCAAGCGUUGUCCGGAUUUAUUGGGCGUAAAGAGCGUGUAGGCGGCUCGAUAAGUCUGCUGUGAAAGUCUAGGGCUCAACCUCGAGACGCCGGUGGAAACUGCAAAGCUAGAGUCCGGAAGAGGAGAGUGGAAUUCCUGGUGUAGCGGUGAAAUGCGCAGAUAUCAGGAAGAACACCCGUGGCGAAGGCGGCUCUCUGGGACGGUACUGACGCUGAGACGCGAAAGCGUGGGGAGCGAACAGG